UCCCAAAAUAUAUGUUAAGUGGAAAAGGAUGUGGCGUUGCCCAGACAACUAGGAUGUUGGCUUAGAAGCAGCCAUCAUUUAAAGAGUGCGUAAUAGCUCACUAGUCGAGUGACACUGCGCCGAAAAUGUACCGGGGCUAAACAUAUUACCGAAGCUGUGGAUUGUCCUUUGGACAAUGGUAGGAGAGCGUUCUAAGGGCGUUGAAGCAUGAUCGUAAGAACAUGUGGAGCGCUUAGAAGUGAGAAUGCCGGUGUGAGUAGCGAAAGACGGGUGAGAAUCCCGUCCACCGAUUGACUAAGGUUUCCAGAGGAAGGCUCGUCCGCUCUGGGUUAGUCGGGUCCUAAGCUGAGGCCGACAGGCGUAGGCGAUGGAUAACAGGUUGAUAUUCCUGUACCACCUAUAAUCGUUUUAAUCGAUGGGGGGACGCAGUAGGAUAG
rnacentral:rRNA from 1 species